GCAAAAAGACUGAGCUACUGGAUAAAAAAACCCUGCCCGCUCUGGGAUCGAACUCUAUCUUCAAGGCUUGAAGCCCUUCUGCGUCGCGUCUUUGCUUCAAUGACGUGACCAGGAAUUCCCCGCGGCCCACGAGGGGCUAAAAAUAGUAACAGGGGAAUCUCUGUUGGCCUACUUGCAAAAAUGGAAUUUUUGACAUUGUAGACCACCAGGUACCAUUUGGUAUUUCCCAUUUGAUACGUCUAGACCCCGAGCCAACGGUGAGGACCCAUUUCUCUUUUCUCAAACUGGAUUAUGGAUUUCACAAACACAGGCAGUCUCCUGGCUUCUGCUGAUUUAUUCAUUACCAUUUUUGCUUUGCUCGACGCAUUUUUGUUGGAUAACCAAAUUGAAGCUUGUUGGAUGAGAAGGCCCCAUCAGUGCAGCCAUAGACUUAUUCGACAUUCGUCACCUGAGGGACAUCCAAGAAACACAGCUCAUGACGUCACCCGGAAGUCUUCGCUCAGCCUAAUGGUGGGAUGAAACCUUUGGUGGAGGCGGAAGUGACCCUUCUGUUGGUUUGUUUUGUGUGGCCCUCUCCUGAAACAUCCCAAUAUCCCCAUGAGCACAAAGGCGAAGAUCAUCAACACCAUUUUCCUUCCAACGCUCACAUAUCAAUGCCAGACAUGGUCCCUAACAAAAGCCCUAGAGAGGAAACUGGUC